rnacentral:rRNA from 1 species
GGGAUAUUGCGCAAUGGGCGAAAGCCUGACGCAGCGACGCCGCGUGGGUGAUGAAGGCCUUCGGGUCGUAAAGCCCUUUCGAGGGGGAAGAACUGGUCGCGACCCACUACGUCUCGAUCUUGACGGUACACCUAAAGGCAGCACCGGCUAACUCCGUGCCAGCAGCCGCGGUAAUACGGAGGGUGCAAGCGUUGUUCGGAAUCACUGGGCGUAAAGCGCGGGCAGGCGGCUCGUUAAGUCUGGUGUGAAAGCCCGGGGCUCACCCCCGGAAGUGCACUGGAUACUGGCGAGCUCGAGUCCCGGAGAGGAGGGUGGAAUUCCUGGUGUAGCGGUGAAAUGCGUAGAUAUCAGGAGGAACACCGGCGGCGAAGGCGGCCCUCUGGACGGUGACUGACGCUGAGACGCGAAAGCGUGGGGAGCAA